AUUGAACGCUGGCGGCAGGCCUAACACAUGCAAGUCGAGCGGCAGCGGGAAAGUAGCUUGCUACUUUUGCCGGCGAGCGGCGGACGGGUGAGUAAUGCCUGGGAGAUUGCCCAGUCGAGGGGAUAACAGUUGGAAACGACUGCUAAUACCGCAUACGCCCUACGGGGGAAAGCAGGGGACCUUCGGGCCUUGCGCGAUUGGAUAUGCCCGGGUGGGAUUAGCUAGUUGGUGAGGUAAUGGCUCACCAAGGCGACGAUCCCUAGCUGGUCUGCGAGGAUGACCAGCCACACUGGAACUGAGACACGGUCCAGACUCCUACGGGAGGCAGCAGUGGGGAAUAUUGCACAAUGGGGGAAACCCUGAUGCAGCCAUGCCGCGUGUGUGAAGAAGGCCUUCGGGUUGUAAAGCACUUUCAGCGAGGAGGAAAGGUUGAUGCCUAAUACGUAUCAACUGUGACGUUACUCGCAGAAGAAGCACCGGCUAACUCCGUGCCAGCCGCCGCCGUAAGAC
rnacentral:rRNA from 1 species